rnacentral:rRNA from 1 species
GAGUCUUAAUUGGGCGUUAAGUUGCAGGGUAUAGACCCGAAACCCGGUGAUCUAGCCAUGGGCAGGUUGAAGGUUGGGUAACACUAACUGGAGGACCGAACCGACUAAUGUUGAAAAAUUAGCGGAUGACCUGUGGCUGGGGGUGAAAGGCCAAUCAAACCGGGAGAUAGCUGGUUCUCCCCGAAAGCUAUUUAGGUAGCGCCUCGUGAAUUCAUCUCCGGGGGUAGAGCACUGUUUCGGCUAGGGGGCCAUCCCGGCUUACCAACCCGAUGCAAACUGCGAAUACCGGAGAAUGUUAUCACGGGAGACACACGGCGGGUGCUAACGUCCGUCGUGAAGAGGGAAACAACCCAGACCGCCAGCUAAGGUCCCAAAGUCAUGGUUAAGUGGGAAACGAUGUGGGAAGGCCCAGACAGCCAGGAUGUUGGCUUAGAAGCAGCCAUCAUUUAAAGAAAGCGUAAUAGCUCACUGGUCGAGUCGGCCUGCGCGGAAGAUGUAACGGGGCUAAACCAUGCACCGAAGCUGCGGCAGCGACACUAUGUGUUGUUGGGUAGGGGAGCGUUCUGUAAGCCUGCGAAGGUGGCCUGUGAGGGUUGCUGGAGGUAUCAGAAGUGCGAAUGCUGACAUAAGUAACGAUAAAGCGGGUGAAAAGCCCGCUCGCCGGAAGACCAAGGGUUCCUGUCCAACGUUAAUCGGGGCAGGGUGAGUCGACCCCUAAGGCGAGGCCGAAAGGCGUAGUCGAUGGGAAACGGGUUAAUAUUCCCGUACUUGGUGUUACUGCGAAGGGGGGACGGAGAAGGCUAUGUUGGCCGGGCGACGGUUGUCCCGGUUUAAGCGUGUAGGUGUGUGUUCCAGGUAAAUCCGGUUCACUUUAACACUGAGGCGUGACGACGAGGCACUACGGUGCUGAAGCAACAAAUGCCCUGCUUCCAGGAAAAGCCUCUAAGCAUCAGGUAACAUCAAAUCGUACCCCAAACCGACACAGGUGGUCAGGUAGAGAAUACCAAGGCGCUUGAGAGAACUCGGGUGAAGGAACUAGGCAAAAUGGUGCCGUAACUUCGGGAGAAGGCACGCUGACACGUAGGUGAAGUGAUUUACUCACGGAGCUGAAGUCAGUCGAAGAUACCAGCUGGCUGCAACUGUUUAUUAAAAACACAGCACUGUGCAAACACGAAAGUGGACGUAUACGGUGUGACGCCUGCCCGGUGCCGGAAGGUUAAUUGAUGGGGUCAGCGCAAGCGAAGCUCCUGAUCGAAGCCCCGGUAAACGGCGGCCGUAACUAUAACGGUCCUAAGGUAGCGAAAUUCCUUGUCGGGUAAGUUCCGACCUGCACGAAUGGCGUAAUGAUGGCCAGGCUGUCUCCACCCGAGACUCAGUGAAAUUGAACUCGCUGUGAAGAUGCAGUGUACCCGCGGCAAGACGGAAAGACCCCGUGAACCUUUACUAUAGCUUGACACUGAACAUUGAGCCUUGAUGUGUAGGAUAGGUGGGAGGCUUUGAAGCGUGGACGCCAGUCUGCGUGGAGCCGACCUUGAAAUACCACCCUUUAAUGUUUGAUGUUCUAACGUGGACCCGUGAUCCGGGUUGCGGACAGUGUCUGGUGGGUAGUUUGACUGGGGCGGUCUCCUCCUAAAGAGUAACGGAGGAGCACGAAGGUUGGCUAAUCCUGGUCGGACAUCAGGAGGUUAGUGCAAUGGCAUAAGCCAGCUUGACUGCGAGCGUGACGGCGCGAGCAGGUGCGAAAGCAGGUCAUAGUGAUCCGGUGGUUCUGAAUGGAAGGGCCAUCGCUCAACGGAUAAAAGGUACUCCGGGGAUAACAGGCUGAUACCGCCCAAGAGUUCAUAUCGACGGCGGUGUUUGGCACCUCGAUGUCGGCUCAUCACAUCCUGGGGCUGAAGUAGGUCCCAAGGGUAUGGCUGUUCGCCAUUUAAAGUGGUACGCGAGCUGGGUUUAGAACGUCGUGAGACAGUUCGGUCCCUAUCUGCCGUGGGCGCUGGAGAACUGAGGGGGGCUGCUCCUAGUACGAGAGGACCGGAGUGGACGCAUCACUGGUGUUCGGGUUGUCAUGCCAAUGGCACUGCCCGGUAGCUAAAUGCGGAAGAGAUAAGUGCUGAAAGCAUCUAAGCACGAAACUUGCCCCGAGAUGAGUUCUCCCUGAGACUUUAGGUCUCCUGAAGGAACGUUGAAGACGACGACGUUGAUAGGCCGGGUGUGUAAGCGCAGCGAUGCGUUGAGCUAACCGGUACUAAUGAACCGUGAGGCUUAACCUUACAA